rnacentral:lncRNA from 1 species
AAGACUGAUGGGUAAUGAUGUGACCCCUCUUUGAUUUAUGUGAAUGUUCACCUUUGUCAUCUCUUCAAGUUUUUCUAUUUGUUUAUUAUUAUUUUUUUCUAUUUUUUUUCUCAAAUAUAUUAUCUUUGAGUGGUCUUAAAGCAAAUACAAUUAUCUUACAUCUUUCUGACAAUUCAUUCUCUAUAUCUUUGGAAACAUCUUUUUCAGUUUAUUUUGUUCUGUUUUUAUCUUCU